UACGGAGGGUGCAAGCGUUGCUCGGAAUCACUGGGCGUAAAGCGCACGUAGGCGGCUUUUUAAGUCAGGGGUGAAAUCCUGGAGCUCAACUCCAGAACUGCCUUUGAUACUGAGAAGCUGGAGUCCGGGAGAGGUGAGUGGAACUGCGAGUGUAGAGGUGAAGUUCGUAGAUAUUCGCAAGAACACCAGUGGCGAAGGCGGCUCACUGGCCCGGUACUGACGCUGAGGUGCGAAAGCGUGGGGAGCAAACAGG
rnacentral:rRNA from 1 species